rnacentral:rRNA from 1 species
CAGCACCUCAAGUGGUCAGGAUGAUUAUUGGGCCUAAAGCAUCCGUAGCCGGCCCUGUAAGUUUUCGGUUAAAUCUGUACGCUCAACGUACAGGCUGCCGGGAAUACUGCAGCGCUAGGGAGUGGGAGAGGUAGACGGUACUCGGUAGGAAGGGGUAAAAUCCUUUGAUCUAUUGAUGACCACCUGUGGCGAAGGCGGUCUACCAGAACACGUCCGACGGUGAGGGAUGAAAGCUGGGGGAGCAAACCGGAUUAGAUACCCGAGUAGUCC